GACGAACGCUGGCGGCGUGCUUAACACAUGCAAGUCGAACGGAAAGGCCCUGCUUUUGUGGGUUGCUCGAGUGGCGAACGGGUGAGUAACACGUGAGUAACCUGCCCUUGACUUUGGGAUAACUUCAGGAAACUGGGGCUAAUACCGCAUAGGAGCUCCUGCUGCAUGGUGGGGGUUGGAAAGUUUCGGCGGUUGGGGCUGGACUCGCGGCUUAUCCGCUUGUUGGUGGGGUAGUGGCUUACCAAGGCUUCGACGGGUAGCCGGCCUGAGAGGGUGACCGGCCACAUGGGGACUGCGAGACGGCGCAGACUGCUACGGGAGGCAGCGGUGGGGAAUAUGGCACAGUGGGGGGAAGCCUGAUGCGACAACGCCGCGUGCGGGAUGACGGGCUUCGGGUUGUAAACCGCUGUCGCCUGUGACGAAGCGUGAGUGACGGUAAUGGAUAAAGAAGCACCGGCUAACUACGUG
rnacentral:rRNA from 1 species